GUGUCAGCCGCCGCGGUAAUACGUAGGGUGCAAGCGUUAAUCGGAAUUACUGGGCGUAAAGCGUGCGCAGGCGGCUUUGCAAGACAGAUGUGAAAUCCCCGGGCUCAACCUGGGAACUGCAUUUGUGACUGCAAGGCUAGAGUACGGCAGAGGGGGAUGGAAUUCCGCGUGUAGCAGUGAAAUGCGUAGAUAUGCGGAGGAACACCAAUGGCGAAGGCAAUCCCCUGGGCCUGUACUGACGCUCAUGCACGAAAGCGUGGGGAGCAAACAGGAUUAGAUACCCUGGUAGUCCACGCCCUAAACGAUGUCAACUGGUUGUUGGACGGCUUGCUGUUCAGUAACGAAGCUAACGCGAUAAGCAUCCCACCUGGGGAGUACGGCCGCAAGGUUGAAACUUAAAGGAAUUGACGG
rnacentral:rRNA from 1 species